rnacentral:tRNA from 1 species
CAGAAAAUAGUUUAAUAUAAAAACAAAAACUUUGGGAGUUUUAAAUUUAGCCAUACUAAUUUUCUGAC